ACUCUGCCGCGAUAGUAAUUCAACCUAGUAUGAGAGGAACCGUUGAUUCACACAAUUGGACAUCAGACUGAGUUGAAAAGCCAAUGGUGCGAAGCUACCGUGUGCCGGAUUAUGACUGAACGGCUCUAAGUCAAAAUCCAAGCUAGCAAGCGGCGCUUGCUGUCACACUCGGAGUUUUCCCCUUUUCCGUAGUUUCCAAAUCAUUGCAAAAUCGUCUAUAGAAAAUACUUUGUUAACUAGGAUGAAACUAUAAUAAACAAUGUGUUUAAUAAUUGGAAUUGCUAGGGAGAAUUUUUUUCGAAUUCUCUUUGCUUUAAAAUCAUUAACAGGAUUU
rnacentral:rRNA from 1 species